rnacentral:rRNA from 1 species
GAUGAACGCUGGCGGCGUGCUUAACACAUGCAAGUCGAACGAAGCACUUUAUUUGAUUUCCUUCGGGACUGAUUAUUUUGUGACUGAGUGGCGGACGGGUGAGUAACGCGUGGGUAACCUGCCUUGUACAGGGGGAUAACAGUUGGAAACGGCUGCUAAUACCGCAUAAGCGCCCAGCAUCGCAUGAUGCAGUGUGAAAAACUCCGGUGGUAUAAGAUGGACCGGCGUUGGAUUAGCUAGUUGGUGAGGUAACGGCCCACCAAGGCGACGAUCCAUAGCCGAGCUGAGAGGGUGACCCGCCACAUUGGGACUGAGACACGGCCCAAACUCCUACGGAAAGCAGCAGUGGGGAAUAUUGCACAAUGGGCGAAAGCCUGAUGCAGCGACGCCGCGUGAGCGAAGAAGUAUUUCGGUAUGUAAAGCUCUAUCAGCAGGGAAGAUAAUGACGGUACCUGACUAAGAAGCACCGGCUAAAUACGUG